AUCACACGCACAACAUAAUAACUGUGUGAGGUGAUAAAUGUCUUCACUAACUUUAUUGUGGUAAUCACUCUGGAACAUAUUCGUGUAUAAAAUCACUAUUUUGCACACCUUAAACUUACAGAAUGUCAUCUAUCAAUUAUACCUCAAUAAAGCUGGAAAAAGAUACAGACCAACCCUGCCUCCAAGAGCAGAGAACACAGGUGGGCAUGCAAAAGAAAAAAAAAAGAAAAAUCCAGAAGGAAGGUCUACAGGUGGAUGACUGAGGCAGGGAGGGGAGAUCUGCCCUCCAGGAUGCCGAGUUUAACAGAAUCAACCCACUCACAAUGACCGGUGCAGCCUGGGUGGGGCAGCUUUUGGUGACAGCUGUUCUGUGACAUCAGUAUCUCUAAUGACAAUGGUCACCAGACAGAGGCUUAUCAGCCAGGAUCCCGAGGGGCGAAUCUAACAGCAGAAUCUGGGUGGUAGACAGAGCCUCCGCUGAGAAGGGCCACUGUCCAGGGAUGGCAAUCCGCUGUGUCUGCGGUAUAUACAGGUGACCCUGCCUUGUAGUUGAUGGCGAUCCCUCCCCCCAUUCUGUCAAGGCUGUGUUGAGUCCUGCUUCGUCUGUGGUGGUAUUUGGCAUCUUGACCUCUUCCUAUGCAUUCGGUCGCAUUUUAACGGAAUAUUUCAAGGGGCCGCCCCAGAAGCUGCUAGCCAGACGCCACUGAACCCUAAAAUGACUCUCGGCUACAGCAUGGUUCUCGUGGUUAUUAAUGUAAGUUGAUCAGAGGCCGCAGAAAUGACGCCGCAUUAAUUCAUCGCUACUCAAAGCAUGGGCGGAUACACGCAGGCUGGGGAAUGACGGGCAUGGGACGUCGACUCCAGUUCUUUGGAGUAUUUAUCACACUUGGUUUGGUUACUUCCUAAGGGCAUCCAGGUAUUUGACUUGAAGAGGCACGAACCAGUGAAAUGGCAGCAGAAUCUCACGGGAGGGAGGAUUUUUGAAAAUGCUCUGUGUAGGGAUGGUGCAAUUCCAACAGUGAAGACUUGAGACUAUGUCUGAAAUCUUCUGUACCUUUACUGGCCACAGAGGACAGCGAGAGCGCCUUGUGCAGACCCUAAAUAUAUUGUCAGAGCAACCCGAGGAGAUAUAAGGAGCCCAGAUGUACUGGCCCCAGGACCAGCAUCUCUGCUCCACAGAGCCUUCGGUGAGUUCAGACGGACCCCAGGGCCAUCUUGCUACUCUCUUGUCCGUGAGGAUCUACCCUCAUCCCUCCCGAUGAGCCUGGACUUGGAAGUUAAGCAUCACUGCUCGGACAGUGUCGGGCUUUGGAAGUUACUUAACUGCCUUGGGUCUGAGUUUACUCAUCAGAACAACGGGAUGUUGAUGCUAUAUUUGGAGGAGAAAACGAGAGAUCACGGCGCAAGCAGCUUGUGUUAGCCCCUAUCCCUUUUCCUCUGUCUGCUGCCCCAGAGGGCACAGUCCAGCCAUCUUUACCUCAGGCCCUAAUGGCCUUAAUUCCAGUGUCUAAGAACCUUCCAUGGGCAUCUCAGGUGUCUUCCCUCUUCGGGAGCAAAGCGGGGGUGAAGAUGUGCAGCCUGGGACCUCAUAUAUACAGGUAUCCCAAGUAACCGAUGGUGCUAUCCCAAAAUGCCUGAGCUGCAUACGCAGAUUUGGACCCACCACGGGUCCCAAGCAGGACCCGAAGUUUUGCCUGCAUUUUCAUGAGCACAAUUUUGCUUUCAAUUUUGAAUAUGAAGGGUGGAGAUACAAGAGGUGUUACUCUGGUCUGUAGUCAACCCGAGUGGGCCCUUGGAAACAUGCGCCUUCUGUGUUUACUGACAUCUGCUGGGUAAAGUCAGCAGCUGCUGUUUAGAAUGUGCAAGAUACUGAUAAAGUAGUAAAGAUUCACUGGGGGUAAUAUUAUUGGGGGGAAAAUAGUCAUUCUCCGAUUACAAAAUGGACAGAGGACCCGAACAGACAUUUUUCCAAAGAAGACCUACGGAUGGCCAACACGAAAAGGCGCUCAACGCCACUCGUCAUCAGGAAAAUGCGAAUCAAACGACUCUGCCGCAUCACACCUAUUUGAACAGCUAGUCUCAAAAGAUA